rnacentral:rRNA from 1 species
UACGUAGGGGGCAAGCGUUUGUCCGGAAUCAUUGGGCGUAAAGCGCGUGUAGGCGGCCCGGUAAGUCCGCUGUGAAAGUCGGGGGCUCAACCCUCGAAUGCCGGUGGAUACUGUCGGGCUAGAGUGCGGGAGAGGCGAGUGGAAUUCCUGGUGUAGCGGUGAAAUGCGCAGAUAUCAGGAGGAACACCAAUUGCGAAGGCAGCUCGCUGGAACGUAACUGACGCUGGAGAACGCGAAAGCGUGGGGAGCAAACAGG